rfam:Ananas comosus cultivar MD2 ACMD2_Scaffold_4409, whole genome shotgun sequence.
AGAGUGGAAUGCAGCCAAGGAUGACUUGCCGGCAUUGGCCUAAGAGGAACAAAUGCAUACCGACAUACGCACAGACAUGCGUACGUACGUAUGUAUAGACAUAUGUAUUGUAUAACUCCAUUGCAUUUGACGGCGAGUUUGUCCUUGGCUACGUAUCACUCUCU